rnacentral:rRNA from 1 species
UCCGCAAUGGGCGAAAGCCUGACGGAGCGACGCCGCGUGCGGGAUGAAGGCCUUCGGGUUGUAAACCGCUGUCAGUCGGGAGGAAAUCUAUGGGGGUUCUCCCCCAUAGUUGACCUAUCUUCAGAGGAAGGACGGGCUAAGUUCGUGCCAGCAGCCGCGGUAAGACGAACCGUCCAAACGUUAUUCGGAAUCACUGGGCUUAAAGGGUGCGUAGAAAAAAAAAAUAAGUUGGGUGUGAAAUCCCUCGGCUCAACCGAGGAACUGCGCUCAAAACUGCCAAGCUAGAGGAAGAUAGAGGUGAGCGGAACUAAUGGUGGAGCGGUGAAAUGCGUUGAUAUCAUUAGGAACACCUGUGGCGAAAGCGGCUCACUGGGUCUUUUCUGACGCUGAGGCACGAAAGCUAGGGUAGCGAACGGGAUUAGAUACCCCGGUAGUCCUAGCUGUAAACGAUGAGCACUAGGUUGGAGGCUCCUCCAUAGGUUUCCGACCGAAGCGUAAGUGUUAAGUGCUCCGCCUGGG